GUCUUCCAGCCCUGCUCCGCCACAUUUCGCCAGGCGACCUCCGCCUAGCUCUGGGCCCCUCGGUGUUGAGACACCCACACUGCCUCCUCUCCUCCCGCCAGUACGCACACACCACCUGUGAUGCCACAAAGGGAAGGGGACCGUUGGGGGCAAGUAGCCUCUUCGGGGCCAAGAGUUUGCAAGAGAUCUUUUCUGUCAGUCUAUACCAGGACUGAGGUAGCAGGCUGGAGUCUCAGAGAUGCAGAGCAGAAGAAACCCUAUCUGCAUGAACCGAGGUCUCUACUGUUCAGUAUCACUGGAUCUGGAACUACACCUAAGAGGAUCUUCUCCUGGUUGCUUCAAAGAAUGGACAAUGGGGCUAGGUGAUGUGCAAGCAUUCUAUGAGGCUGACCCAUGUAGAAAUGUUUUGGAGACCUCCCUGAGCACACUGAGUGUGUACACCCAUGAUACAGCACAGCUGGGGUGGGUUACAGGGGUCACAGCAUCAAGGCUGUUGGGGGUGAUGUCUCUGUCUCCCUCAUUCAUGGAAUAAAGAAACUUUUUUUU